ACAUUUCCGGGUUUCUCAGCAGCUGAAGUUAGUGAAUGGACUACAACAAUUAAUUUAUUUUUUGUGUGAAAUUUGAUGCAAAUGUAGUAUAACAUAUUAUUUUAUACAUACACGUAAAAAUAUAAAAUUUAUAAAAAUAUUUGGAGGAUUUACUACGUUGACCGUUGAAACGUACGUCAUCACGUCUUGCGUAGAGGCCAGUGUUUGCUAUGCGGUCGAAGCAUUGGAGAAGGUUGUCGCUUUUUAUCAGAAUUCUUACAAACAAAUUGAUGUCAACAAUGAAUAUGGAUGGCUCAGGAAUGAAGAAGGCCUUUGGAAAACACGGCUAUGUCGUGUUAUAAUAGGUGCACUACAGCAGUCCAAACCUUCAUUAUCAGAGGCUGAAAUAAAAAAAUACAGCUAAAAAAUCUCCGGUCUGCUCCCGAUAGAUGUGGGGGUAUGGGACGACAAAAGGGGAAAUCGGCGAUUGAUGUGUGUUCAGAUUCUGAAUAAGUAGGCCUUAAGCCAAUUGUUUAUCAAAAUUAUUUUUGUUCAUUUGGGAUAUGAUCUGGGAAAACCCAUCACAUGGUGAAAUAAAAAAUACUGGUUUUAGUAUCAUAUGAAAGCUAUUAAGCCCUUUCCAAAACUGUUUUUAUUUAAUUUACAAAUUGUUUUUAUGGAGUGGGUGGUCUAGUGGGUUAAACCACUGAACUGGUAAAUCAAAAGGUUGCUGGUUCUAUCCUAGUAGCCACCACCAGUGUGUCCUUGAGCAAGACACUUUACUCCCCGUUGCUCCAGGGGGAUUGUCCCUGUAAUAAGUGCACUGUAAGUCGCUUUGGAUAAAAGCAUCUGCUAAAUAACUACACGUAAAUGUAAAUGUUUUUAACAAAUGGAAAGGGCUUGAGAGCUUUCAUAUGAUAUCAAAACCUGUAAUAUGUACAAUUUUGUCAUGUGAUGGCUUUUUCCAGAUCACUUAAUAUUUAUAUAUCAAUUUAAAUGUUAAUAUUUAAUUAAAAAGUAAUUCAAGGAGGAUUUUAUAUUUAUUAGUGGUUUAAGAACAUUUUAAAUUUCUGGAAUUGUAGCUGAUUGUAUUUAAUAAAACAUGUCUUACAUUAA